CGAAGCCUGAUGCAGCAACGCCGCGUGAGCGAUGAAGGCCUUCCGGUCGUAAAGCUCUGUCCUCAAGGAAGAUAAUGACGGUACUUGAGGAGGAAGCCCCGGCUGACUACGUGCCAGCAGCCGCGGUAAUACGUAGGGGGCUAGCGUUAUCCGGCAUUACUGGGCGUAAAGGGUGCGUAGGCGGUCUUUCAAGCCAGAAGUGAAAGGCUACGGCUCAACCGUAGUAAGCUUUUGGAACUGUAGGACUUGAGUGCAGGAGAGGAGAGUGGAAUUCCUAGUGUAGCGGUGAAAUGCGUAGAUAUUAGGAGGAACACCAGUAGCGAAGGCGGCUCUCUGGACUGUAACUGACGCUGAGGCACGAAAGCGUGGGGAGCGAACAGGAUUAGAUACCCUGGUAGUCCACGCCGUAAACGAUGAGUACUAGGUGUCGGGGGUUACCCCCCUCGGUGCCGCAGCUAACGCAUUAAGUACUCCGCCUGGGAAGUACGCUCGCAAGAGUGAAACUCUAAGGAAUUGACGGGGACCCGCACAAGUAGCGGAGCAUGUGGUUUAAUUCGAAGCAACGCGAAGAACCUUACCUAAGCUUGACAUCCCACUGACCUCUCCUUAAUCGGAGAUUUCCCUUUCGGGGACAGUGGUGACAGGUGGUGCAUGGUUGUCGUCAGCUCGUGUCG
rnacentral:rRNA from 1 species